GCGGGAGUAGCUCAGUUGGUAGAGUGCCACCUUGCCAAGGUGGAUGUCGCGAGUUCGAGCCUCGUCUUCCGCU
rnacentral:tRNA from 6 species